rnacentral:lncRNA from 1 species
GAUAUUGCUCUGACCUGGAAUUUUUUUUCUAGCAAUGGCAUCCAUUGAGCUCAUGGCAAUCUUCCUGCCUCAGCACCUUGUGUACUGGGAUGACAGAUGUGAGUGAUAAUACCUGACAAGUCUGUAGCACUUAAGACAGUGGAAUGCUUCGCGAUCUUUUAUGUCAUCUCUAGUCAGUGGCUAUGCUAAUCUCUCCAUCAUUCCCAUUUUAGUAUAUGCGCCACAGAAGCAAGUACAUCUGUGACAUUCUUUUUAUUUAAUCAAAAAACCAUUUAAUUUUAUUAAUUUUAAAUUUAAUUUUUUUUAUUCGCUUUGCAACCAAAUAUCCCCUUGUACAAAUUCUCCCCCCAUUCUACCCCUCUGCGUACCCCUCACACACACACUCCUCCCCUCAUAUCAAGUUGCUGUGGGGCUAGGCAUAGCCUCUCCCACUGAGGCCAAACAAGGCAGUUCAUUUCAGGGUCUGGAUCUAUAGGCAGACAGGCAACAGGCUUAUGGACAGCCCCUGCUCCAGUUUUUUGGGGACCAGCAUGAAGACGAAGUUUUCACCUGCUACAUAUGUGCAGGCAGCCUAGGUCCAGCCUGUGCUCACUCUUUGGUUGGUGAUUCAGUCUCUGGGAGCUCACAGGGGUCCACGUGAGUUGACUCUAUUGGUCUUUCUGUGAGAUCCCUGUCCUCUUUGGGCUCCGAAAUCCUUUUUCCAACUUUUCCAGUGGCCUCCUGGAGCUACGUCUAAUGUUUAGGUGUGAGUCUCUGCAUCUCUUUCCAUUGGCUGCUGGGUGGAGCUUCUUAGAGAACAGUUUCACUAGGUUCCUGUCAGGAAGCAUGACAGAGUAUCAUCAAUAGUGUCAGGGAUUGGUGCUUGCCCAUGGGAUGGGUCUCAAGUUGGGUCAGUUAUUGGCUGGCCAUCUGCUCAGUCUCUGCUAGAUAUUUGUCCCUGCAUAUCAUGUACACAAGACACAUUUUGUGUCAAAGUUUUUGUGGGUGGGUUGCUGUCCUUAUCCCUCCCGCCAAAGUGGUUACUUCAGGAUCCAUCUCUCGCACUGCUAUAAGUCUCAGCUAGAGUCGCAUGCAUAGACUUUCUGAAGCCUUCUUCCAAUCCAGGUCUAGAGAUUGGUACAUUCCCCUCCCCCGCCAAUUUCCCUUCUCUCUCCCUUGCUCUCCCUGCAUAUGGUCUCUACCCCCUGCUCUGCUCCUCUCCACAUCCCCUGUUCUAUCCAGUUCCUUCCUUUCAUAGACCUCUGAUGUCUAUUUUGUCUCCUAUUUUCUCUUCUGAGAAAAAGUCAAACAUUCUCCAUUGGGCCCUCCUUGUUAUUUUGGCUUCUUUGAGUCUGUUAAUUAUAGCAUGAUUAUCCUGUAUUUUAUGACUAAUAUCCACUUAUCAAUGAGUACAUACCAUGCAUGUCCUUUUGGGUUACCUCACUCAGGAUGAUAUUUUCUAGUUCUAGCUAUUUGCCUGUGAAAUUCAUGAUGUCCUGUUUUUAAUGGCUGAGUAUUAUUCCACUGUGUAAAUGAACCAGAUAUUCUUUAUCCGUUCUUCAGUUGAGAGACAUAUAGGUUGUUUUCAAUUUCUGGCUAUUACAAAUAAAGAUGCUAUGAACAUAGUUGAGCAAAUCAAGAACUCAAAGAAUAGCAUAUGCUGGUGAGGAUGUGGAGCAAGGGGAACACUCCUCCACUGCUAGUGGGAGUGCAAACUUGUACAGCCACUCUGGAACUCACGUUGAUGGUUUGUUAGAAGACGAGGAAUAGUUCUACCUCAAGACCCAGCUAUACCAUUCCUGGGUAUAUACCAAAAGGAUGCUCCACCAUCCCACAAGGACAUCUGUGACAUUCUUAAAUGGUGAUGGGAUCAUGUCUGUUGCGUAGGCAACUGCAAUCCUAUGAUGGUAUUCAUUGUGAAAAAACAGUCCACUUUAUGUAGUUCAUAUAGAUCAAAGUGGAAAAAAAAUCUUGAAAUUGGUAAAAUAUAGUUCUUUAAUUUAUUUCAAUUGAUAAAUAGUUCUCUAUUUACAAAUAACAUAACAGUUAACUCCCAUUUUUCUAUUUAAAUUGUUUCUUUUUUGGCACCUCAUUUCACAAGACAAGUUUUUGUAUGUGAAUUGUGUCAUAUUUGCGGUAUGUAUUUGUAAGUAAAUGUAAUAUUGUAUACACAAGUAAACUUUAAUGUGUAAUUGAAACAAAUUUAUAAACUAAUAACAAGGCAGCUAUUGAGUGAAAGUUACAGACUACCCUGAUUUAAACAUGAUAUUUUCAUGGGAAGCCAUUGAAAUAGCUUCUAAACUUACCCAAACACCAUUACACUGAAAGUUUAAGAGCUGAUAGCAACACAUAUUUCGUAUUUGACUUGGUCAUUUUUUCACAUAUAUAAAAAUGGAUUUAAUCAAAUGUAUAUCAGUUGAUAUGUUAAAUCAAGAUACUUUUGUAUGGGUAAUCUGAUAUUGGAAGUCCAGUGAUAGGAGAAUUAUAAUAAUGACCCAGUAAUCAGCAAGAGUUACAGUUUCUUCCUCAUCGCUCCUGCCCAUUGGCACAGCCACAAGCCUUGUCUACAUGUGAGCUAAGUGUCCCUCACACCUUUGUUGGCUAAACUCCCUACUUGCACCCAAUGAGGAGAGUUGUGGAGAAUUAAGGGCUAGCAAUGAGUCUGAAAGCACCCGAGGAAGUGGGCAUUAGGAAGUGGGCAUUGUCAUUUCUUUUGCCUGAUGUUAUUGUCCUUAAUUUGCAAGUUGAACCUUCUUGUCCUUUUCUAGGAUUGAUUGUUAACAAGUAUGCAGUCAGAUUUUUGUGUCACUGCCACCUGAAUCAUGACAACUUUCCUCCCAAAAUUUACAUAGAACCUGUUUAAACAUCAAUAGGUGUUAUUGUUGUGUCUUAUGUGACACAGUCUGUGGACUUAUGAUUCUUUUGUAACAUUUUCCACAAUGAUAGACAUGGAAUGUUGGCCACUGAAAUAAUUAUAGGUUUUUUUUUUGUUGUUGUUUUUUAAUGGAACAUAAAAAUGAAGCCUACUCCAUGGAACUGAAACAAACAAACAAACAAACAAACACAAACAAACAAACAAACAAAAACCUAAAAGACAAUUGACCAAACAAAGAAAGAAAGAAACAAAACCCUUUUUAACUGAUCAUAGCACAAC